GAUGAAGAACGUAGCGAAAUGCGAUAAGUAGUGUGAAUUGCAGAAUUCAGUGAAUCAUCGAAUCUUUGAACGCACAUUGCGCCCCUUGGUAUCCCGAGGGGCAUGCCUGUUCGAGCGUCAUUUCACCACUCAAGCCUGGCUUGGUGUUGGGCGACGUCCUCUUUGGGGACGCGCCUCGAAACGCUCGGCGGCGUGGCACCGGCUUUAAGCGUAGCAGAAUCUUUCGCUUUGGAAGUCGGGGCCCCGUCUGCCGGAAGACCUGCUCGCAAGGUUACCUCGGAUCAGGCAGGGAUACCCGCUGAACUUAAGCAUAUCAAUAAGCGGAGGA
rnacentral:misc_RNA from 1 species